GAGAGAGAGGAAGAUGGAGGAGGAGGUAGAAGGAAAGUGGGGCAGAAGCACGUGGCCUGGAGAAACUGGACACAGAUGAAGAGGGUCUUUCUACACUCAAAACCCCCUGUGAAUCAAGAAUCAGGAGACAAAGGUACAAAGGGUUCCAGACCAGUUGUGGCCCUGGAAUCAAUGGUGAUUUGACAACUGGUGGCUCUUGGCCCAGAUUCAAAUCCACGGAUUUCACAGUUGGAAUCUGUGUCCCCUCAACGGACUCCUUUGGUGAUAAACUCUGAAGCUCUGGCUCCGGUUUUGCCUUUUCAGCAUCUACCACUCCUAGAGAAGACUGUUGUACUAAAUCCACAGAUAACUUACCUUGUGACUCUAGUCCUGUAUCUAUUUGCAUAGACUUUACAUUGUGGAGCUGUGGCCCUGGGAUCACAUCUAUAAUAUGUGGUGUGGGUCCUGUAGUUAACUCUGUAGGCUCUACAACUAGUCCAGAUGGUUCAGUGGUUUUUUCUACCAAUGACUCUGAUUCCUCAAUUUGCACUCUUGCUUCUAGAUUCAACCCCUGAGAUCCCAUUUCUGAAUAUGAUUCUACAAUGGUCCCCUGGGUAUUAUCAAAUUCAGGCAAUGUCAAUUUGGUGCUUGCUGUGAAUUCAUACAGACUCAUUUCUGAUGGGUUAGUA
ensembl:lincRNA Gm42951 predicted gene 42951